rnacentral:rRNA from 1 species
AUUGAACGCUGGCGGCAUGCUUUACACAUGCAAGUCGAACGGCAGCGCUGGCUUCGGGCUGGCGGCUAGUGUCUAACGGGUAAGUAAUGCAUCUGAACGUGCCCACUAGUGGGGGAUAGCCCGGCGAAAGCCGGAUUAAUCCCGCCUACGACCUGAGGGUUAAAGCGGGGGACCGAAAAUCCUCGCGCUAUUGCACAGUCCGAUGCCGGAUUAGCUAGUUGGUGGGGUAAAGGCUUACCAAGGCGACGAUCCGUAGCUGGUCUGAGAGGACGACCAGCAACACUGGGACUGAGACACGGCACAGACUCUUACGGGAGGCAGCAGUGGGGAAUUUUGGACAAUGGGGGCAACCCUGCUCCAGGCAUGCAGCGUGCGGGAAGAAGGCCUUCGGGUUGUAAACCGCUUUUGUUCGGGAAGAAAUCCUCUGGGCUAAUACCCCGGGGGGAUGACGGUACCGGAAGAAUAAGCACCGGCUAACUACGUG